rnacentral:rRNA from 1 species
AGUGAACGCUGGCGGUAGGCCUAACACAUGCAAGUCGAACGGCAGCACAGUAAGAGCUUGCUCUUACGGGUGGCGAGUGGCGGACGGGUGAGGAAUACAUCGGAAUCUACUUUUUCGUGGGGGAUAACGUAGGGAAACUUACGCUAAUACCGCAUACGACCUACGGGUGAAAGCAGGGGAUCUUCGGACCUUGCGCGAUUGAAUGAGCCGAUGUCGGAUUAGCUAGUUGGCGGGGUAAAGGCCCACCAAGGCGACGAUCCGUAGCUGGUCUGAGAGGAUGAUCAGCAACACUGGAACUGAGACACGGCCCAGACUCCUACGGGAGGCAGCAGGGGGGAAUUUGGGACAAUGGGCGCAAGCCUGACCCAGCAAUGCCGCGUGAGGGAAGAAGGCCUUCGGGUUGUAAACCCCUUUUGUGGGGAAAGAAAAGCAGUGGUUUAAUACCCGCUUGUCCUGACGGUACCAAAAGAAAAAGCACCGGCUAACUUCGUG